rnacentral:rRNA from 1 species
UGGGGAAUAUUGCACAAUGGGCGCAAGCCUGAUGCAGCCAUGCCGCGUGUAUGAAGAAGGCCUUCGGGUUGUAAAGUACUUUUAGUCGGGAGGAAGGUGGUAAGGUUAAUAACCUUAUCAAUUGACGUUACCGACAGAAGAAGCACCGGCUAACUCCGUGCCAGCAGCCGCGGUAAUACGGAGGGUGCAAGCGUUAAUCGGAAUUACUUGGCGUAAAGCGCACGCAGGCGGUUGAUUGAGUCAGAUGUGAAAUCCCCGGGCUUAACCCGGGAAUUGCAUCUGAUACUGGUCAGCUAGAGUCUUGUAGAGGGGGGUAGAAUUCCAUGUGUAGCGGUGAAAUGCGUAGAGAUGUGGAGGAAUACCGGUGGCGAAGGCGGCCCCCUGGACAAAGACUGACGCUCAGGUGCGAAAGCGUGGGGAGCAAACAGG